rnacentral:rRNA from 1 species
UACGGGGGGGGCAAGCGUUGUUCGGAAUUACUGGGCGUAAAGGGCUCGUAGGUUGCCAACUAAGUCAGUCGUGAAAUCCCUCGGCUUAACCGGGGAACUGCGUCUGAUACUGGAUGGCUUGAGUUCGGGAGAGGGAUGCGGAAUUCCAGGUGUAGCGGUGAAAUGCGUAGAUAUCUGGAGGAACGCCAGUGGCGAAGGCGGCAUCCUGGACCGACACUGACACUGAGGAGCGAAAGCCAGGGGAGCAAACGGG